GCGUUUGACAUGGGACGUAUGGUUACCAGAGAUGGUUUCCUUCACUUCGGGUGGCGUCCACACAGGUGCUGCAUGGCUGUCGUCAGCUCGUGUCGUGAGAUGUUGGGUUAAGUCCCGCAACGAGCGCAACCCUCACCUUCAGUUGCCAUCAUUUAGUUGGGCACUCUGAAGGAACUGCCGGUGACAAGCCGGAGGAAGGUGGGGAUGACGUCAAGUCCUCAUGGCCCUUACGCGCUGGGCUACACACGUGCUACAAUGGUGGUGACAGUGGGAAGCCAGUCCGCGAGGACGAGCCAAUCUCCAAAAGCCAUCUCAGUUCGGAUUGCACUCUGCAACUCGAGUGCAUGAAGUCGGAAUCGCUAGUAAUCGUGGAUCAGCAUGCCACGGUGAAUACGUUCCC
rnacentral:rRNA from 1 species